GAUGAACGCUAGCGGCAGGCCUAACACAUGCAAGUCGAGGGAGAAGCCCUUUCGGGGGCAGAAACCGGCGCACGGGUGCGUAACGCGUAUGCAACCUACCUUUCACAGGGGGAUAGCCCGAAGAAAUUUGGAUUAAUACCCCAUAAUAUUAUUGGAUGGCAUCAUUUGAUAAUUAAAACUGCGGUGGUGAAAGAUGGGCAUGCGUCCUAUUAGCUAGUUGGAGUGGUAACGGCACGCCAAGGCUACGAUAGGUAGGGGUCCUGAGAGGGAGAUCCCCCACACUGGUACUGAGGUAGGGACCAGACUCCUACGGAGGGGAGCAGUGAGGAAUAUUGGUCAAUGGUCGGAAGACUGAACCAGCCAUGCCGCGUGCAGGAAGAAUGCCUUAUGGGUUGUAAACUGCUUUUAUAUGGGAAGAAUAAGGCGUACGUGUACGUUGAUGACGGUACCAUAUGAAUAAGCAUCGGCUAACUCCGUG
rnacentral:rRNA from 1 species